AUUGAACGCUGGCGGCAUGCUUUACACAUGCAAGUCGAACGGCAGCGCGGGCUUCGGCCUGGCGGCGAGUGGCGAACGGGUGAGUAAUGCAUCGGAACGUGCCCAGUAGUGGGGGAUAGCCCGGCGAAAGCCGGAUUAAUACCGCAUACGACCUGAGGGUGAAAGCGGGGGACCGAAAGGCCUCGCGCUAUUGGAGCGGCCGAUGUCGGAUUAGCUAGUUGGUGGGGUAAAGGCUUACCAAGGCGACGAUCCGUAGCUGGUCUGAGAGAACGACCAGCCACACGGGACUGAGGCAACGCCCCGGAGUCUUAGGGGAGGCGGAGUUGGGAAAUUUGGAAAAAUGGGGGAAACCUGGUUCAAGCCAGGCGGCUGGCGGGAGAAGGGCCUCCGGGUGGUAAACCGCUUUGGUCGGGAAGAAAUCCUCUGGGCUAAUACCCCGGGGGGAUGACGGUACCGGAAGAAUAAGCACCGGCUAACUACGUG
rnacentral:rRNA from 1 species